rnacentral:rRNA from 1 species
UACGGGGGGGGCAAGCGUUGUUCGGAAUUACUGGGCGUAAAGGGCUCGUAGGUGGCCAACUAAGUCAGACGUGAAAUCCCUCGGCUUAACCGGGGAACUGCGUCUGAUACUGGAUGGCUUGAGUUUGGGAGAGGGAUGUGGAAUUCCAGGUGUAGCGGUGAAAUGCGUAGAUAUCUGGAGGAACACCGGUGGCGAAGGCGGCAUCCUGGACCGACACUGACGCUGAGGCGCGAAAGCUAGGGUAGCAAACGGG